CAGCCUGGAAGUCCAAAUUUAAAAUUCUAGUAAGGGAAUUCGGCCAGGGAGAGCUGCCAAGAUCCUUCUCCCAUUCCACUUCCCCUUCACCCCACACGAGUGAACGCCUGACCUCCACGUGCAAACUGCCCACACCACCAGUACCACCAAAACAGCCGGCCCCUUGGCUGCCACUGACUACUCCUGGGACCUUGGGGCAGUCACUUGUUAGGAGGAUGGACCUAAGGAAAUACAUCUGCAAGUUCUGGAAACAUCAGUGAUGAAGUAUAACUACCUACAUGUAACAAUAUGGAUAAAUCUGAAAAAUAUGAUUUUGAAUGAGCAAAACAUGGCAGACAGAUUGGUUCUGUUGGUUCACUCCCUACAGUGUUUGUUUGGGUUUCCGUCAUUAAUAUCCAGGCCAUCACUUUGUUACUGCAGACCUCAUUGACUCGGUGCUGUGCUAAGGUGAUGCUAAUAGUGGUGAUCAUUGGGUCUGUGCACAAUGCAGCCAUUCCAAGAUGUGUCCCUAAGAAAGUAACAUCCAAUCACCACACCAUCCACACAGCAUGUGUCCUGUCUGUAUUUGUA